AUGGAGUGGAGCUGGAUGAUCCUCUUGCUGGUGGCAGCAGGUACAGGUGUCCAUUCACAGGUCCAGCUGCAGCAGUCUGGGGCUGAGCUGGGGAAGCCUGGGUCCUUAGUGAAGUUGUCCUGCAAGGCUUCAGGCUACACCUUCACCAGCGAACAUAUUUCCUGGAUAAAGCAGAGUCCUGGACAGGGCCUGGAGUGGAUUGGAUGGAUUUAUCCUGGAUACGGUGUUACUAACUACAAUCAGAAGUUCAAGGCCAAGGCCAAACUGACUACAGAUACAUCCUCCAGCACAGCCUACAUUGAGCUCAGCAGCCUGACAUCUGAGGACUCUGCGGUCUCUUACUGUGCAAGACACACACUGCAUGUCAUGCUGUGGAGUCCUCAGGGUGUGGAAUAUGCAAACUCUGGCAACAUUUUGGGCUCCUGCUCAGUUCAUCAGUACAUCUUCUGGACCUUUGCCUGCAGUUCACAUGAUACAGAGGAAGGCUCUCUUGCCCCAGUAGAAGUGGACAGAAAUUCCUUGUCUUCAAAAACAUUGUGUCCUCCUGCUCUCAUCAUUGCAACAUAA